rnacentral:rRNA from 1 species
UACGUAGGGGGCGAGCGUUGUCCGGAGUUAUUGGGCGUAAAGCGCGCGCAGGCGGUCUAUCAAGUCUGGAGUGACAGUUCCCGGCUCACCUGGGAAAGGUCUUCGGAAACUGGUAGACUUGAGGGACUCAGAGGGAGACGGAAUUCCAGGUGGAGCGGUGAAAUGCGUAGAGAUCUGGAGGAACACCAAAGGCGAAGGCAGUCUCCUGGGAGUUUCCUGACGCUCAGGCGCGAAAGCCAGGGGAGCGAACGGGG